CCUACGGGAGGCAGCAGUGGGGGAUAUUGCACAAUGGGGGGAACCCUGAUGCAGCGACGCCGCGUGGGUGAAGAAGCGCCUCGGCGCGUAAAGCCCUGUCAGCAGGGAAGAAAAUGACGGUACCUGAAGAAGAAGCCCCGGCUAACUACGUGCCAGCAGCCGCGGUAAUACGGAGGGGGCAAGCGUUAUCCGGAUUUACUGGGGGUAAAGGGGGCGCAGGCGGCGAUGCAAGCCAGGAGUGAAAGCCCGGGGCCCAACCCCGGGACUGCUCUUGGAACUGCGUGGCUAGAGUGCAGGAGGGGCAGGCGGAAUUCCUGGGGUAGCGGUGAAAUGCGUAGAUAUCAGGAGGAACACCGGUGGCGAAGGCGGCCUGCUGGACUGCAACUGACGUUGAGGCCCGAAAGCGUGGGGAGCAAACAGGAUUAGAUACCCCAGUAGUC
rnacentral:rRNA from 1 species